UACGGAGGGAGCUAGCGUUGUUCGGAAUUACUGGGCGUAAAGCGCACGUAGGCGGCUAUUCAAGUCAGGGGUGAAAUCCCGGGGCUCAACCCCGGAACUGCCUCUGAAACUAGAUAGCUAGAAUCUUGGAGAGGUCAGUGGAAUUCCGAGUGUAGAGGUGAAAUUCGUAGAUAUUCGGAAGAACACCAGUGGCGAAGGCGACUGACUGGACAAGUAUUGACGCUGAGGUGCGAAAGCGUGGGGAGCAAACGGG
rnacentral:rRNA from 1 species